rnacentral:misc_RNA from 1 species
UACGUAUCUUUGUCACCCUUCUAUGGUGUUUCGAUUCGACACGAUCCGACAGGAAUGAAAAAUUGAACGAGAAUAGUUGGUUUUUGACAGAGUAGUGCGGUUUUAGUGUUAUAUCUUCUUUUUUUUAGCGAUAUUGUAGUAAUUAAUAUUAAAAAAGGAAGUGAAAUAAUUAUUUAAUUGCAUUAUAAAAUCUAGGUAAUAAGUUUUCAAACGUGAGUGAACGAAAAAUUCACGGAUGAUGAAGUGAUCGACAGGAUUCAAUAUAGAUUGAGAUGGAAGAAGAUGGUUUCUUCAAGCAUUCAGGACUUCUCUACCUGCUACUGUCAAUUUAGACAGUGUCAAGAAUUGAAUAACACCUUGAAAAAAUUACAAUCGGGGAUCAGCUGUUUUGUGAAUGCAGCACUUCUUUACAAACUAAUACAAGAGCGAGCAUUCAUGAAUGGGAUUUAGGCGCCCAGACGCUGUUCUUCUAUUGGAGGAAGUGAAGCAGCUAUUCCACCUGCUAAAGUACAGCAUUCUAUAGAUAUAUCUUGGCUAUAGUAUACGUCAAGGUCGUUUAGUUCACCUAUAUACAAGUCAGUUAACCACGAGCAGAGAUUUGCACAGAGAUUUAUUUUCCGAACUUGAAGAGACCUCAAAAAAACAGUUGGGGAAAUUGUGAGAGUUGAUUCGAGAGUUUUUCCAGCUUUUCCUGAUAACAUCGGGUAACAAUCAGCAUUAGAAUGUCGGUAAUCAACCCAGCUAUCCCAACUUCACAAGAUCCACAGUUAUUU